ACGCGCGCUUGCGUGUGUUCGUUUCCCCGAAAACACGUUACCCGCGCUGAGAGGGGCGGCUGAGAGUCAAACCGGAUCAGCUCACUUCCUCAUAAGUUUGUCGCAGCUUGGAGCCUUUCUUUCUCCGCUUUUUAAACCUUUCACCUGAUUAACUUUUUUAUCAGUUUCUUCCCUUACAUUUAUACUUUUAUUACUUUAUACCGUAUGGACGCAUUUUAAUCACGGAAUAGAUACGAUAAGGUCUCCAGUCUACUAUGGAUGAGGAGAGAGAAGAGGGGGGUCCUACCUCUAAGACCACUCUGUCUGGGGAACAUGGCCGCCGGAGCAAAGCUAAGAGCCCAGAGAAGCAGGAGAGAACAGACCCCCCUGGACCCAGCUGUGUCUCCAUGAAGAGUGGCUGGUCUAUGGAUCCACCUGUUAGUUUUAAAGAUGGAAAUCAGUCUAUCAAGAAGAGAGUCCAGCAGGAGAGAGCAGACUCCCCUGGACCCAGCUGUGUCUCCAUGAAGAGUGG